rnacentral:tRNA from 1 species
CGGAGUGUAGCUCAGCCUGGUAGAGCGUUUCGUUCGGGACGAAAAGGUCGCUGGUUCGAAUCCAGUCACUCCGA